rnacentral:rRNA from 1 species
CGCGUAGGUGGUCUAGCAAGUCCUGUGUGAAAUCCCUCAGCUCAACUGAGGAACUGCACAGGAGACUGCCUGACUUGAGUUCGGGAGAGGGACGCGGAAUUCCGGGUGUAGCGGUGAAAUGCGUAGAUAUCCGGAGGAACACCAGAGGCGAAGGCGGCGUCCUGGACCGACACUGACACUGAGGCGCGAAAGCUAGGGGAGCAAACGGGAUUAGAUACCCCGGUAGUCCUAGCCCUAAACCAUGAGUGCUGGGUGUAGGGGGUUACAACCCCCCCUGUGCCGAAGCUAACGCAUUAAGCACUCCGCCUGGGGAGUACGGUCGCAAGGCUGAA